UAAAAACCCCGACUUCGGAAGGGGUGUAUUUAUUAGAUACAAAACCAAUGCCCUUCGGGGCUCUUUGGUGAUUCAUGAUAACUAUACGAAUCGCACGGCCUUGCGCCGGCGAUGGUUCAUUCAAAUUUCUUCCCUAUCAACUUUCGAUGUUUGGGUAUUGGCCAAACAUGGUUGCAACGGGUAACGGAGGGUUAGGGCUCGACCCCGGAGAAGGAGCCUGAGAAACGGCUACUACAUCCAAGGAAGGCAGCAGGCGCGCAAAUUACCCAAUCCCGACUCGGGGAGGUAGUGACAAUAAAUACUGAUACAGGGCCCUUUCGGGCCUUGUAAUUGGAAUGAGUACAAUUUAAAUCCCUUAACGAGGAACAAUUGGAGGGCAAGUCUGGUGCCAGCAGCCGCGGUAAUUCCAGCUCCAAUAGCGUAUAUUAAAGUUGUUGUGGUUAAAAAGCUCGUAGUUGAACCUUGGGCCUGGCUGGCCGGUCCGCCUCACCGCGUGCACUGGUCCGGCCGGGCCUUUCCCUCUGUGGAACCCCUUACCCUUCAUUGGGCGUGGCGGGGAAACUGGGACAUUUACUU
rnacentral:rRNA from 1 species